CAGUAGCCGCGGUAAUACGGAGGGUGCAAGCGUUAAUCGGAAUUACUGGGCGUAAAGCGCACGCAGGCGGUCUGACAAGACAGAUGUGAAAUCCCCGGGCUUAACCUGGGAACUGCAUUUGAAACUGUCAGGCUGGAGUCUUGUAGAGGGGGGUAGAAUUCCAGGUGUAGCGGUGAAAUGCGUAGAGAUCUGGAGGAAUACCGGUGGCGAAGGCGGCCCCCUGGACAAAGACUGACGCUCAGGUGCGAAAGCGUGGGGAGCAAACAGGAUUAGAUACCCCAGUAGUCCCUGUCUCUUAUAC
rnacentral:rRNA from 1 species